rnacentral:rRNA from 1 species
GAUACCACCCUUGUAGUACUGGGACUCUAACCAUAGGCCAUGAAGCUGAUCUUGGGACACUGUCAGGUGGGCAGUUUGACUGGGGCGGUCGCCUCCCAAAAGGGAACGGAGGCGCGCAAAGGUUCACGCAGUACGGACGGAACUCGGACGUAGAGUGUAAAGGCACAAGAGAGCGUGAUUGCAAGACAUACAGGUCGAGCAAGGAUGAAAAGCGGCCUUAGUGAUCCGGUGGUUCGGCGUGGAAGGGCCAUCGCUCAACGGAUAAAAGCUACCCUGGGGAUGCCAGGCUUAUCUCCCCCAAGAGUCCACAUCGACGGGGAGGUUUGGCACCUCGAUGUCGGCUCAUCACAUCCUGGGGCUGUAGUAGGUCCCAAGGGUUGGGCUGUUCGCCCAUUAAAGUGGUACGCGAGCUGGGUUCAGAACGUCGUGAGACAGUUCGGUCCCUAUCCGUCGCAGGCGUAGGAAAUUUGAGAAGACCUGUCCUUAGUACGAGAGGACCGGGAUGGACGUACCUCUGGUGUACCAGUUGU